GGAGGCAGCAGUGGGGAAUAUUGGACAAUGGGCGAAAGCCUGAUCCAGCAAUGCCGCGUGAGUGAUGAAGGCCUUAGGGUUGUAAAGCUCUUUUACCCGGGAUGAUAAUGACAGUACCGGGAGAAUAAGCUCCGGCUAACUCCGUGCCAGCAGCCGCGGUAAUACGGAGGGAGCUAGCGUUGUUCGGAAUUACUGGGCGUAAAGCGCGCGUAGGCGGUUUUUUAAGUCAGAGGUGAAAGCCCAGUGCUCAACACUGGAACUGCCUUUGAAACUGGAAAACUUGAAUCUUGGAGAGGUCAGUGGAAUUCCGAGUGUAGAGGUGAAAUUCGUAGAUAUUCGGAAGAACACCAGUGGCGAAGGCGACUGACUGGACAAGUAUUGACGCUGAGGUGCGAAAGCGUGGGGAGCAAACAGGAUUAGAUA
rnacentral:rRNA from 1 species